rnacentral:rRNA from 1 species
AAAGCGGCGGACGGGUGAGUAACGCGUAGGCAACCUGCCUUAUGCAGAGGGAUAGCCAUUGGAAACGAUGAUUAAAACCUCAUAACGCCGGAGAGUCACAUGGUUUUCCGGCCAAAGAUUUAUCGGCAUAAGAUGGGCCUGCGUCUGAUUAGUUAGUUGGUGGGGUAACGGCCUACCAAGGCGACGAUCAGUAGCCGACCUGAGAGGGUGAUCGGCCACAUUGGAACUGAGACACGGUCCAAACUCCUACGGGAGGCAGCAUG